rnacentral:rRNA from 1 species
CCUANGGGAGGCAGCAGUGAGGAAUAUUGCACAAUGGGCGAAAGCCUGAUGCAGCAACGCCGCGUGAGCGAUGAAGGCCUUCGGGUCGUAAAGCUCUUUUGAGAGGGACGAGAUAGGACGGUACCUUUUGAAUAAGUCACGGCUAACUACGUGCCAGCAGCCGCGGUAAAACGUAGGUGGCGAGCGUUAUCCGGAUUCACUGGGCGUAAAGCGAGUGCAGGUGGUUUUGUAAGUUGGAUGUGAAAUUUCCCGGCUUAACCGGGAAGGGUCAUUCAAUACUGCAGGACUUGAGGGCAAAAGAGGGGGGUGGAAUUGCCGGUGUAGUGGUGAAAUGCGUAGAUAUCGGCAGGAACACCUGUGGCGAAAGCGGCCCCCUGGUUUGCUCCUGACACUCAGACUCGAAAGCUAGGGUAGCGAACGGGAUUAGAUACCCUUNUANUC